rnacentral:rRNA from 1 species
UACGGAGGGGGCUAGCGUUGUCCGGAAUUACUGGGCGUAAAGCGUGCGCAGGCGGUUGUGCAAGACAGAUGUGAAAUCCCCGGGCUCAACCUGGGAAUUGCAUUGUGACUGCACGGCUAGAGUGUGUCAGAGGGGGGUAGAAUUCCACGUGUAGCAGUGAAAUGCGUAGAGAUGUGGAGGAAUACCGAGUGGCGAAGGCAGCCCCCUGGGAUAACACUGACGCUCAUGCACGAAAGCGUGGGGAGCAAACAGG